rnacentral:lncRNA from 1 species
AGAGAUAGGGCCAUUAGGAAUGAUCCCAAGAUCUAUGAUGAGGUGAUGUUAGAUAUAGACCCCAAAAAAUGAAAGGAAGCAAUGAAGUCAAAAACUGACUCUAUGCAUUCCAAUCAGGUUUGGACCUUAGUAGAUCCACCUAAAGGUAUUGUAUCUAUUGGGUGUAAAUAGAUCUAUAAAAAAAAAUUGGAUUAGAUGGUUAGAUAGAGACCUAUAAGGCAAAGCUGGAUAUGAAAGG